UGCACCAAUUUGUAAGUCGCUCUGGAUAAGAGCGUCUGCUAAAUGUCGUAAAUGUAAAUGUUUUAAGAGCCAUCCACAUUGCAAUAAGAGUAUUCUUCCAUUGACUUAGCUUCGUUAACUGCAGUUAUUCAAUUCCCAGUUUCUCUCCUUUUGAGUUCUACUUCUCAGGUGAGGAUGUCAGUACAAAAACAAAACAGGCUCUUUUAAGAGUCACCCAUAUUGAAAACAAUUAGACACCCUAUAACCCACACCUACACACUCAAUCUGAUUGAUGGAUUGUGCAGUAAGCAAGCUCAGGUGUAGAACUGUGGCUCCUUCCACCUCCAAAAGGACAGGCCAGAGGACCAACCAUGGAGAACAGUUAUAUCAGCUGUGUUGGUGAACCCCUCCCGCAUCUGAACUGGCUGUCACAGAGGGCACAGCAUGAUCAGAGGUGUAUGUAAACUUCCGACUUCAACUGUAAGCUGUGUUGGUGAACCCCUCCCUCAUCUGGACUGGCUGACAGAGGGCACAGCAGGAUCAGAGGUAUGUUUUGAUGGGUGCCAACCUCCAGUCCAGUCCAUCUCACCCGCUCUUAAGAUCACCUUCUGGCCAACUGGGG